rnacentral:rRNA from 2 species
CGUGAACCUUUACUAUAGCUUGACACUGAACAUUGAGCCUUGAUGUGUAGGAUAGGUGGGAGGCUUUGAAGUGUGGACGCCAGUCUGCAUGGAGCCGACCUUGAAUACCACCCUUUAAUGUUUGAUGUUCUAACGUUGACCCGUAAUCCGGGUUGCGGACAGUGUCUGGUGGGUAGUUUGACUGGGGCGGUCUCCUCCUAAA